CCGGGGGGAACCAGGCAGACCCCACCUCAGGAGCCAGCCACCUGGGCAGGUGUCUCAGAAAUUUACAAGAAAAAGAUGAAGAACACCCAAUGGGAAAAUGAACAACACAUACAGACAGGUAACUCGCAAUGAAGGAAUGCAAAGGACCAAGAAUCCCAUGAAACAAAGCACAUCUCAUUCUUGAAUCCAUGGCUUCUCUGGAACAGACCUACUCCUACUUUUCUCCUCACCUUCCAUCUGGAGCUGAAGGACCUGUGUGACUUGACGCAGUCCUGCUGUGGAAGUUCCUCUUAGGAAGGAAGCUGGGCACUUGACAGGUUAGUUGAGCUGACUUUGUGCUGCCUGACCAGUAAGUGGGCCCUGCGAUGCAGCUCUGCAGCAAGAGGCAGAAUGCUCCAGGAAGGAGAAGAGGAGGGAGAACAACAACAAAACUCGACCGGGCCAUUCUGAUCCAGAAGAGAGCCAACAGAAAGUUUCAGAUUAAAUGGGAACUACAGCAAUAACCAACUUAUCCUAAAUUUCUGGAGAAGAAGGAGCUCUAAAUUAAUGCUUUUUUUUUUUUUUAAGAUUCUAUCCAUUUAUUCUUGAGACACAGAGAGAGAGAGAGGCAGAGACACAGGCAGAGGGAGAAGCAGGCUCCAUUCCAUGGAGGGAGCCCAACGUGGGACUCGAUCCCAGGUCUCCCAGGUCUCUAAGGAUCACACCCUGGGCCGAAGGUGGUGCUAAACCACUGAGCCACCCGGGCUUCCCAAUUAAUGCAUUUUUUAAGACAACUGAAGGCAAAUACUUUUUCCCCAAAAUGGAAACUUAUAAAAGCACUUUCAUCAUUGUUCCAUGCUGUAAUGGCCUUGUGUGCCUAGGAGUUUUUGAGGCAUGUAGGGCUAUUUGCCUUGGCACUAAAUGACCCCCAACUGAUGUGCUUUUCUAUUUGGAGACUUGUCUCUUUUUUGCUUCCAGCUACCACUUCUCAGUGUGUCAUCUCCCAGAAUCUCCCACUCUACUUGCUUGUCUUUAAACUCUGCAGAAAAGGUUAUCAAGGAAGCAAGAAGAUCAAUCUGCUAGAGUGGUAUCCAUCAAUUUCAUUUAACGCUAAGGCAAUAGAGUUGUCUUAGGAGUGCUUCUUCUUCUUUACCCUCUAUUUGUCAUCACUGCCAUCCACCUGCCUAAAACAUACACACACACACACACCUUGUUGAAUACAAAGGCUCAGACUCUGCCCUUUCCUUCAUCCCAAUCCUUGCCAUUACUGCCCUUAGGCACAACCCAUCAGGAUUUCUAUCCUGGGCCCAAUCUUCUAGAGGAUCCUGGUCUGGCCUUCCUAUAACUAUGUUACUUCCCAGGGGAGCAAGGAAUCCAUGGAGCUGAGAGUAGAGUCCCAUAGGGAACACAUGCCUCCUCUUUCAAGAACCAUGUUCUGGGUACCUAGGACCCUGGGAGUCCCUGCCCAGGUAGCCCUGAGCCCCCUUCCAGGGCCUCUUGCAUGGAUCUGGAAAGGUCUAGAGGGUGGACAGUGCUACUGGCAUGUGCACUCUUAAGAGUAGCCAAGUCACUGGUGGUUGAAGGGGUGAGGGCAGAGCUUGGAUGUGCAGGCUGAGGUCGCACAGGUGGAAGAGUAAGCCCUCUUACUCGAAAUGGAACAGAGCUGGGGUUGGGAGAGAAGAGGGGCACUUCUAUCUGUACUCCUGUCAAAGCUGCACAAAUUGUUGGGGUGAACUGAAUCCCUGCUUGAUUCUAGGACUUUCCAAUGGCUUUGUGGAUAGCCCAUCUAAAACACUUCUAGCUUUGUGGGUUCUUGGCUCCCUCAAUUCCAAGUACCUUUACCUGCACUCCAAAUCUUAACAUUUCCCUGAACUUUGCAAGUACUCCAAAAGUUGCUAAAGCACGUCAACUAUAAUUUGCUGACUCUGGACAUUCCCCUCCCAGCCUCUGCUAGAAAACCCAGGCCUCCAUUCCUUUCAAAAUCUGAAUUCUCUUUCUUUCCCAUUCCUGCAAUGCUAUCCUUUAGAGAAAUCAGCUGCUCCCUGGAUAUCAAUAAAAUUGAUUUCCAAUUUUAGUUCUUUGGUGAGCCUAGAGAAUUUUGAGAACACCAAAAUCUUCUCUAAGGAAUAUCUACAAGGCAGAUUAUCUUCUCUACCUUAAAAAAAAUAAAAUACACAAAACUCUGAGAGUGAGCAGCAUUGAAGUGAGAGAGAAAUACUUUUCACAUCUCAACAGAUCAGACACUUCUUUGAAAAGGCACCCAGACACCCAUGGGCUCUCCCUGGCUCAGAGAGUUGCUACCUAUUGUUCAGUCUCUUUGGGGACACCCUCUUCCAUUUCUUGACUCUGUAUCUUGCCUCCUUCCAUCACCUAGAGCACUUCUUCCCUUGAGUGUCAUGUUAUUCUCUUGUCAGGCCUCUGUUCUUUUUUUAAAUAUUCCUAUUUUAUUUGUUUUUUAUUUUUAUUUUUUUAAGAUUUUAUUUAUUUAUUCAUAGACACAGAGAGAGAGGGGCAGAGACAGAC